UACGGAGGGUGCGAGCGUUGUCCGGAAUCAUUGGGCGUAAAGGGCGCGUAGGUGGCGUGGUAAGUCUGUGGUGAAAGCGCGGGGCUCAACCCCGCGUCGGCCGUGGAUACUGCUAUGCUAGAGCACUGUAGAGGCAGGCGGAAUUCCGGGUGUAGCGGUGGAAUGCGUAGAGAUCCGGAAGAACACCAGGGGCGAAGGCGGCCUGCUGGGCAGUUGCUGACACUGAGGCGCGACAGCGUGGGGAGCAAACAGG
rnacentral:rRNA from 1 species